rnacentral:rRNA from 1 species
GGGGAAUUUUGGACAAUGGGCGCAAGCCUGAUCCAGCCAUGCCGCGUGAGUGAAGAAGGCCUUCGGGUUGUAAAGCUCUUUCGCAAGGGAAGAAAACGGAUGGGUUAAUACCCUGUUCGGAUGACGGUACCGUCAUAAGAAGCACCGGCUAACUACGUGCCAGCAGCCGCGGUAAUACGUAGGGUGCGAGCGUUAAUCGGAAUUACUGGGCGUAAAGUGUGCGCAGGCGGUUGAUUAAGACAGGCGUGAAAUCCCCGGGCUUAACCUGGGAACUGCGCUUGUGACUGGUCGGCUAGAGUACGGCAGAGGGGGGUGGAAUUCCACGUGUAGCAGUGAAAUGCGUAGAGAUGUGGAGGAACACCGAUGGCGAAGGCAGCCCCCUGGGCCGAUACUGACGCUGAGGUGCGAAAGCGUGGGGAGCAAACA